AUGAUUCUCCUAGGGUGGAACUGCCGCGGGAUGCGUCAGUCCCGGGCAGUUAGAGCACUCCUGGAUGUUCAGAAGUGCUACAAACCAGAUGUGUUAUUUCUAUCGGAAACACAUCUGUCUGACGCAAGGGCCGAACGGUUGAUGAGAAAGCUAGGGUUCCAGGAGAGGCUGGUUAACCCGAGUGAUGGUAGGGCGGGAGGCUUACUGAUGAUGUGGAGAAACGGAGUGUCCGUCACAAAACAUGGGGUCACUGCAAAUUUCAUUGAUGUAACAAUAGAUGACGGGAGAAAAUGGAGGUGUACAGGUUUUUAUGGUGAGCCGGUUAAGGAAAAUAAACACAAGUCAUGGGAGUACUUGCGUGCUCUGCACCAACAAAGAGAUGAACCAUGGAUAGCAUUUGGAGAUUUUAAUGAGAUACUAUUUUUGCAUGAGAAGGAAGGUGGAGUAGCUAGAGAGCAACGAUCCAUGCAAGCGUUCAGAGACGCUCUUUCUGAAUGUGAGCUGGAGGAUAUGGGAUUGACGGGGGGACGUUUAUACAUGGAGCAGAGGACCGAUCAAGGAGAGGCUUGA
rnacentral:rRNA from 1 species